UACGAAGGGGGCUAGCGUUGUUCGGAAUUACUGGGCGUAAAGCGCGCGCAGGCGGUCUUCCAAGUCAGUGGUGAAAGCCCGGAGCUCAACUCCGGAACUGCCAUUGAAACUGUGAGACUUGAGUAUGAGAGAGGUGAGUGGAAUUCCCAGUGUAGAGGUGAAAUUCGUAGAUAUUGGGAAGAACACCGGUGGCGAAGGCGGCUCACUGGCCCGGUACUGACGCUGAGGUGCGAAAGCGUGGGGAGCAAACAGG
rnacentral:rRNA from 1 species